CAAGGGAUAUUGUGCAAUGGGCGAAAGCCUGACACAGCGACACCGCGUGAGGGAUGAAGGCCCUUGGGUCGUAAACCUCUUUUCUCAGGGAAGAAAAAUGACGGUACCUGAGGAAUAAGUCUUGGCUAACUACGUGCCAGCAGCCGCGGUAAUACGUAGGAGGCAAGCGUUAUCCGGAUUUACUGGGCGUAAAGCGGGCGUAGGCGGCCCUUCAAGUCGAAUGUAAAAUCUCCCGGCUUAACUGGGAGGGAUCAUUCGAUACUGUUGGGCUAGAGGGCAGCAGAGGGAGACGGAAUUCCCGGUGUAGUGGUGAAAUACGUAGAUAUCGGGAGGAACACCAGUGGCGAAGGCGGUCUCCUGGGCUGUUACUAACGCUGAGGUCCGAAAGCGUGGGGAGCGAACAGG
rnacentral:rRNA from 1 species